AUGGAUGUGCAAUACCAUGAGGAGUACGUGAGGAAUCCGAGGGGGGUGCAGCUCUUCACAUGCGGCUGGCUGCCUGCUUCUUCCUCGCCCAAGGCGCUCGUCUUCCUUUGCCAUGGGUAUGGCAUGGAAUGCAGCGUCUUCAUGAGAGCUUGCGGGUUCAAAUUGGCCGCGGCUGGGUAUGGCGUGUUCGGGAUCGACUACGAAGGCUAUGGCAAGUCCAUGGGCGCCAGAUGCUACAUCCAGAAAUUCGACCGCCUCGUCGCCGACUGCGACCGCUUCUUCAAGUCCAUCUGCGACCUGGAGGAGUACCGGAGCAAGAGCCGGUUCCUGUACGGCGAGUCCAUGGGCGGCGCCGUCGCCCUGCUGCUGCACAGGAAGGACCCGGCCUUCUGGGACGGCGCCGUCCUCGUGGCGCCCAUGUGCAAGAUAUCGGAGAAGGUGAAGCCGCAUCCGGUGGUGGUGACCCUCCUGACGCAGGUGGAGGAGCUCAUCCCGACCUGGAAGAUCGUGCCCACCAAGGACGUGAUCGACUCCGCCUUCAAGGACCCCGUCAAGCGCGAAAACAUCAGGAGGAACAAGCUCAUCUACCAGGACAAGCCGCGGCUCAAGACGGCGCUGGAGCUGCUCAGGACCAGCAUGGACGUCGAGGACAGCCUCUCCGAGGUGACCAUGCCCUUCUUCAUCCUGCACGGCGAGGCCGACACCGUGACCGACCCGGAGGUCAGCCGCGCGCUGUACGACCGGGCCGCCAGCACCGACAAGACAAUCAAGCUCUACCCGGGGAUGUGGCACGGCCUCACCGCCGGCGAGCCAGACGACAAUGUGGAGCUGGUCUUUGCCGACAUCGUCGCCUGGCUCAACAAGCGCAGCCAUCACCGCAAGCCUGAACACGGCGGCCGGGUAACAAGCGCCCCGUCGGAGCCUGCAAGGUACCAACGGCGGCCGGUUUCCGGCGGCAGCGGCAUGGACAGCCCGGUGUCGAUGCCUCGGCGCCGAGGCCGCUUCCUCUGCGGGCAAUGUAGAAUGUAA
rnacentral:rRNA from 1 species